UGGUUCUGGCAUCGAUGAAGAACGCAGCGAAAUGCGAUAAGUAAUGCGAAUUGCAGAAUCCGUGAGUCAUCGAAUCUUUGAACGCACAUUGCGCCCCUUGGUAUUCCGAGGGGCAUGCCUGUUCGAGCGUCAUUAUCACCCCUCAAACUUCGGUUUGGUGUUGGACUUAGUUAUACUUUGGUGUGACUGGUCUCAAAGAUAGUGACGGCGUCCGAGAAGGAACCGGUACGAGGAGUUUUUCAUUAAACAUGUACGCGGCAGGAUUCUCGGGCGGCGGUCUUUAUACUUAUAAUUAUACAAGUGUUGACCUCGGAUCAGGUAGGAAUACCCGCUGA
rnacentral:misc_RNA from 1 species